rnacentral:lncRNA from 1 species
CCUUGCAGGUAGAGGAGAAUCCAUAACAAGAUAAAGCAAACAAAAGGAGGAAAGUUUUCUUUCCCUGUCCAGAAAAAAUAACCUGUUGGAUUAUAAUCUGCAAACAGUGGAGAGUGCCAGCAUGAGCAACGAGGGGCCAGAGAAUCCCAUCGCAUCUACACUGACCGAGGGCCUGAAGAGGAAGAGGGGGAGACCAAAGAAGAAGCCACAGGAGGAUGGUGGAAACACAGCUGCUAUCCCACAGGAUGGUGUGGAACCACAGCCAGUGAAGAAACCACGAGGAAGGCCAAAAGGAAGCAAGAAACUGACUGCUAUAACUGGGGGAAUGGCAGAUCCUUCUGCUGGGAAAAGGCCAAGAGGGAGGCCCCGCAAGUGGCCUCAAGCAGUGGUCCAAGAAGGAGAAUCUGAGGGUGGAAAUCCUCUGGAAAGCAGUGACUUGAAUUUGAACUCGGCACCAGCCACACAAGGUUUGAAAUUAGAUAAUCAUAAUUAGACAAGACUAAACAGUGGAGCCAGCGCUCUGGCAAACCAUGCACAAGGCUCUAGCACUGGCUGCAAUCUUUCUGGUAAAUCCUAUAAACAGAGGAGCAUUUGGAAAGUUUUCCUUCCAUCUAAUUCAGUUGUGACUGCUUCAGCAGAAGUGGAGGUAGAAAAAAAGAAGAAAAUCUGUCUGUCUUUCCAAGAAG